rnacentral:tRNA from 1 species
GAAAAAUUAGUUAAUUUAUAACAUUAAAUUGUCAAUUUAAAAUAAAUAUUUAUAUUAUUAUUAUUUUUCU